rnacentral:rRNA from 1 species
UACGUAGGGGGCUAGCAUUGUCCGGAAUCAUUGGGCGUAAAGAGCGUGUAGGCGGUCCGGUAAGUCCGUUGUGAAAGUCAGGGGCUCAACCCUUGAAUGCCGGCGGAUACUGUCGGGCUAGAGUCCGGAAGAGGCGAGUGGAAUUCCCGGUGUAGCGGUGAAAUGCGCAGAUAUCGGGAGGAACACCUAUGGCGAAGGCAGCUCGCUGGGACGGUACUGACGCUGAGACGCGAAAGCGUGGGGAGCGAACAGG